AUUGAACGCUGGCGGCAGGCCUAACACAUGCAAGUCGAGCGAGCGGCGGACGGGUGUGUAAUAUCUGGGAAACUGCCUGAUGGGGGGGGAUAAAUACUGGAGACGGUAGCUCAUACCGCAUACCAUCAGAUGUGCCCAGAUGGGAUUAGCUAGUAGGUGGGGUAAUGGCUCACCUAGGGGACGAUCCCUAGCUGGUCUGAGAGGAUGACCAGCCACACUGGAACUGAGACACGGUCCAGACUCCUACGGGAGGCAGCAGUGGGGAAUAUUGCACAAUGGGCGCAAGCCUGAUGCAGCCAUGCCGCGUGUGUGAAGAAGGCCUUCGGGUUGUAAAGCACUUUCAGCGAGGAGGCGUUACUCGCAGAAGAAGCACCGGCUAACUCCGUGCCAGCAGCCGCGGUAAUAC
rnacentral:rRNA from 1 species